CAAAUGAGACCUCAGUUUAACAUGUCAUUGGAAGGAUGGUAUACACAAGAAUGCCACACUGCAGUGUCAGUAAAAGAAAAUGAAUCCUGUUACCUGGGGUGGGAAUAGACCCCAUAACCUUCUAAUCUUACAUUGUCAAAGUGUUUUUCAGAUAUAAAGAAGAACUGCAGUAUUGGCUUGUAAAUAUGAAAAGUAACUUCUGGGUGAAGCAAAGAAUAUACUGAGAAGGCAAAAUGCUGGUCUUCCGCUCUUAGAAAAUGUACUGGUGAUUAAAUUACUGCAGCACAUGAAGAGAGUUACUCAAUGAUCAGAAUGUGUUCUUAUACUCCUUUCAAGAAACUAGCAAGUACCAACACUCAGACCUCUCCACUUUCCCUUUAGAGGAAUUUUCCUAUUUUCAGGCUUGACUCAAGUCUCCACAGAAUUUUUUGCAUCCCCCUCAUCACAUUUGAUUUUUGAAGCUGUCUAGUACAAAGAAAACCACAUUACAUGAUCAACAAAUUUAUGGCACCAAUAAUUUAAAGAAAAUGAACAUGGAUCUUAGAUCUCCCUUUUUUAGAAGCAAAUAUAAAUGACUUUCUGUGGUAGAAUUUUGUGAUAUAAUUUGUUAAAGUUUACAGAAUUUACAUUGUCUGUUUGAUAAUGUGAUUAUAUGUUUCCAUCAUUUUGUUACACUGCUUUUAAAACAUGUCUGAGUAAUAUCCCACAUUCCUACGCAAAGCAGGAAGAGGUAUGUUCCAUUUGGUAUUCAAAUGUUAUACUAAUGAGAUGGCCACAUAUUUAUGUGGCUGUUCCUACUUUUCAUGGACCUUUGUACCUAUUUUAUGCAUCUGCAGGUAAAGAGGUAUGCCGACACUUACUAUUUAUUCAAAGCAAGUACUUCCACACAUGUUAUUUUUACACUUGUCUUUUGAAAUCACAAGUAGAACUCUAACUGCUAUACAAGAAACAAUAGUAACAUUUUUUUGCUGUUGAUUUUUCAUUCUAUGUUUGAUAAAACUAGUAAUACUUUAAAAGUCACAUUUGAAUUGGUGCUGUGUUUUGAGAAAUAUUUCACCUUACUGUUUUUGUACUCCAAAAAAUCACAUUAUAGAGAUAAUCUCACAGCUAUUUCAAAAGCAUAUCUGUUGCAGAAAUUCCAGUUAUGUUUGUUAGUUGAGUUGAGCGCAGGUUAUUAAGUAUUUCAGAUGAAAGUCUGAUGUGUACAGAGAAGACAAGAGGCAAGUUGAACAUCACGGGAUAGUUUUCCAAUAUAACUUUAGUUUAGGUGAGAUACCAUUAUUUGUUAUAAGGGCCUGUGGGUUCUUAAUACACUGAGUGGCAAUGUUUUUGAAACCUCUCUUAACCUUAUUGUAAAAUAAAACUUUUGUAUCUAAUUCAAGUCAUACACUGUUACCACCAAGGCAAAAUAUUUCAUAUCAUAAGAUAUCACAAUGAAUUUUGCUAUUUUCAUACUUAGUUAUAUACCUAAAGGAAUGUUUUAUAUUAUUAGUGUUACUAAUCUCAUUAAUAAAACCAAACUGGUAAUGAUUAUUAAUAAUCUAAAAGCGACAUCUUGAUGAACUUACUGAACUACUAUCAUUAAAUGAAUCGCUCUGUUUUGCAAAUAUUAUGUAGACAGCAAACAAAGACACAGAAUAAUUAGGCUGGCAAUCUUUUACUGAGUUGCUAUAAUGACUAAAGGAAUGCCAGCUGUAAUUAUAAGCAAACGGAUAAGGUAAUCAUAAGGGGUGUGCAUUUUGAGGGUGGUGGGGGUGAGGAGUCUAGUGAUAUGUUACUGUUCUUUAACUCAUGACUGAAAUGUUUUUGUAUUGUUUAGAUAUUCAAUAUGUUAAACGCACCUAAGGGAAUCUAGUUAUUUAAAAGGAACUGCAUAAAUUACAAUAAACCCUAAUAAUAUGCUCUGUCCAAGAAGCUAUUUUCUAAUUGCUAAGCAUGGAAUAUGGCAAAAUCCAACUUACAGAAGAUGUGAACACCUAGAAGCCCUAAGAGACUUCACAGUAAAACCUAGUUGUGUUUGCUCUUGG